rnacentral:rRNA from 1 species
UGGGGAAUUUUCCGCAAUGGGCGAAAGCCUGACGGAGCAAUACCGCGUGUGGGAGGACGCUUUUUGGAGUGUAAACCACUUUUAUUAGGGAAGAAGAACUGACGGUACCUAAUGAAUCAGCAUCGGCUAACUCCGUGCCAGCAGCCGCGGUAAUACGGGGGAUGCAAGCGUUAUCCGGAAUUAUUGGGCGUAAAGCGUCCGUAGGUGGCUUAUCAAGUCUGUUGUCAAAGCGUGCGGCUUAACCGCAUACGGGCGAUGGAAACUGAUGAGCUAGAGUGCGAUAGGGGUCAGGGGAAUUCCCGGUGUAGCGGUGAAAUGCGUAGAUAUCGGGAAGAACACCAGUGGCGAAAGCGCCUGACUGGGUCUGCACUGACACUGAGGGACGAAAGCUAGGGGAGCG